rnacentral:snoRNA from 1 species
UUUCCACUCAGAUGCAAGAAAAAGGAGCUCCUUUCACUUUCUGUCUGUCUGGUUGUGGCAGCCAAGAUUGAAUGGGGGAAUACAGGA